rnacentral:rRNA from 1 species
UACGUAGGGGGCAAGCGUUGUCCGGAUUUAUUGGGCGUAAAGAGCGUGUAGGCGGCCUGAAAGGUCAGCUGUGAAAACUCGAGGCUCAACCUCGAGACGUCGGUUGAAACCAUCUGGCUAGAGUCCGGAAGAGGAGUGUGGAAUUCCCGGUGUAGCGGUGAAAUGCGCAGAUAUCGGGAAGAACACCCGUGGCGAAGGCGGCACUCUGGGGGCGCCCUGACGCUGAGGCGCGAGAGCGUGGGGAGCAAACCGG